CUUUACAGGCGAGGCGCAGUUCAUCUCGAACGAGCCUAAUCACUGCUUGUUGGGGGAGGAGCUUAAGAGACCGUUUUGGGCUUUAGAGGAAAGGGGGGAGGGACUGAGAAGUUGAUGUUCAAAAGUU